UGGGGAAUAUUGCACAAUGGGCGCAAGCCUGAUGCAGCCAUGCCGCGUGUAUGAAGAAGGCCUUCGGGUUGUAAAGUACUUUCAGCGGGGAGGAAGGCGAUAAGGUUAAUAACCUUGUCGAUUGACGUUACCCGCAGAAGAAGCACCGGCUAACUCCGUGCCAGCAGCUGCGGUAAUACGGAGGGUGCAAGCGUUAAUCGGAAUUACUGGGCGUAAAGCGCACGCAGGCGGUCUGUCAAGUCGGAUGUGAAAUCCCCGGGCUCAACCUGGGAACUGCAUUCGAAACUGGCAGGCUAGAGUCUUGUAGAGGGGGGUAGAAUUCCAGGUGUAGCGGUGAAACGCGUAGAGAUCUGGAGGAAUACCGGUGGCGAAGGCGGCCCCCUGGACAAAGACUGACGCUCAGGUGCGAAAGCGUGGGGAGCAAACA
rnacentral:rRNA from 1 species